UACAUAAGAUCUUCUAUUCCUAUACAGAUUGUAACGUUCCGCGAUUGCCAAGAGGGGUUUUUAUUGGGUCGCAGGUACACAAAUCCACAAAGUUUUUUUAACGAACCCUGUGAUUCAUUAGACUUGGGUAUAAGCGUAGUGGACUCAGAGCCAUCGUGCCGCGAAGAACUCUUUCCCAUAACCGAUUUAGAGUGUAAGCUAGUAGUUUUACCCUACAAUAGCAAACUAGUUAUACUGCCUUUAUUGCACACCUGCCUUUGAAAUUUCAUUGUCAGUUCAUACAACUCCUUUUCUUUUUAUUAAUUGGAUUGUUAAAUUAAUUGUUUGUUAUUAUAUACAUGAAAUUCAUUUUCUUUAGUUUUUUUAGUUUUUAUUUUAAAAUGGAAGAAACACCCAGAAAAAUUAAAUGUUUCAGUUCAAUUAUAAACAAUGAUGGUCUCAAUCAAAAGUGCAAUUGCGAAACAUUUGUUAAAAAGAUGGAAAAUGUGGAAAAUACUCAAAAAGUAAUUCAAGGUCAGAUCAAGGUUUUAGCUGAGGCAUUAGCUGAGUUGAAGGUGAUGGUGCAAAAAUUACUUCGAUCUCAAAGUGAUGAGAUACCUUUAACGAAUAGGUUACCCAUCAGCACUGAGAAAGACCUUAUUGAAAUUAAUAACGACAUCACAAGUGAGAAUAAAGAUCUAUAUUUUAAGAUUAUAUCAUCCAUUAUAAAAAGAGAGGGAAUAUUGAAAUCAUUAAAAAAUAUAGGUUUAAAAAUUACUUACGAAUAUAAUAUUGACGGAAAUCAUGGAAAAAAAGUUUGAAGUCCCUAAGCAAUAUAUAUAACGUAAUUUUAGAUUCAAUACCAGUUCAAGAAAAUUCAGACACCCCUGAAACGCAACUGCGAAAAGCAAUACAAGUGCAAAAGAAACGAUUUUUUAAACAAGUGAGUGCUGAGAGAAAAGCAGAAUAGUUAAUAAAAUAUUACCA